rfam:Nitrospirae bacterium RBG_13_41_22 RBG_13_scaffold_15412, whole genome shotgun sequence.
GCGGGAAUAGCUCAGUUGGUAGAGCACAACCUUGCCAAGGUUGGGGUCGCGGGUUCGAGCCCCGUUUCCCGCU